UCGGUUUCGAAAAAGACUAAAAGAGACAAAGUUUAAGAUUUCAAAUUAAAUGAAACGAUACGUGGGCUGUACGAAAAAUAGCAGUGAGUUCACAUCAAAUUACAAAAAAAUGUGUUCGUCGAGUAAACUUUGUGUCGUGGCUCUUUAAUAGAAUCGCCUAAAUCACAUUCACACUUCAUACUUUUUAGCGGAUUUGAGUCCUGAACCACAGCCAACGUAACAACAAGAUAUUCCAGUUUUGCUUCUGCUGGAACUGUCAUCUCAGCAACAACCUUUGCAUCACCACUUGGAUAAACAGCAUCCCUGUUGAUUGGAGAUUCUAACCAUGGCCGAGCUACGUAUCUCUUCCUUCGUCUCCCUUUCUUUAAAUGUUUUCGUGUACACUUCAUGUGAAUGUGGGUGUAUUCACGAGGACCCCUUUUCUCCCUAUCACGCCUGGUGGACUCAACUUUUCAGCGGAUGGAUGGAUCACUUGUGGAAGGAUACCUGGCUGAAUUUCCAAAGUUCAAAAGGUUCAUUAAACAGCUCAAAGGACGACUACAGAUCAGACAUUUUUUUUCCCCAAAAACAUUUCAACUCGACCAGGAGAUGCUGAACUUGUUCGAGGUUCACCCUUCACCAUUGUGCUAGGAUUUUUUUAAGUUUUCCGGACGACGGAUCGGGACUCUCUAGAGGCUGAGGAAAUAUUCAUCCCGACCUCAACUUCUGAUUCCGCCCUGUGUUUUCUUCAACUUGUUGUGUUCCCGCCUGUGCUCCUCGACCACGAAAUCUGUGAUUGAUACACACCGCCACUAUACCUUUGUUCAGGUGAAAACAGUUUAUUUACUUCUGGUGCAUGUUACUCCUAGUUGUUCGAUGACACAGACACUUUUCUAUGACUUUGGUUUUGAAAAGCGAAAACAGGUCAUUUAUUGUAACAUUAUUUAGUUAAUUGCCCUGGAAAUUCAAAGUUCAAU